ensembl:lncRNA
CUGUAAACCUGAGCUCUUUUGAAGGUAUGUAGCUUCUUUCUCAAUACGUUUUGCUGGAGAUCCCUGUAAACCUGAGCUCUUUUGAAGGGUCCUGUGGUACCGGCAGCCCUGCAAGAAACAGUCUCUGAGAUGAGAGUCAUUUUGGCCCAGUCUUGCGUGCUGUUGAACACCUGUAAAAGGCUAAGCAUGAUGCUAGGAGCCCACUCUAAUGGGACUGGAACUACCCAAAUGAAUACCAGGAGAAAAAGUUCACUGAAAACAGAUCCAAUGGCAAAGAAAUGGCACUUAAUAGCCAGCGAGUGCUUAUUCAAGAUCAUA